rnacentral:tRNA from 1 species
UAGUCCUGUAGGGUAGUGGUCAAUCCUUUUGGCCUUUGGAGCCGAAGACGGUGGUUCGAAUCCGCCCAGGACUAUC